UGGGGGAUUUUGCACAAUGGGCGCAAGCCUGAUGCAGCGACGCCGCGUGAGGGAUGAAGGCCUUCGGGUUGUAAACCUCUUUCGCUGGGUUGAAAGGCCAUGCUUUGGGUGUGGUUGAUUUGAACUGGUAAAGAAGUACCGGCUAACUACGUGCCAGCAGCCGCGGUAAUACGUAGGGUACUAGCGUUGUCCGGAUUUAUUGGGCGUAAAGGGCUUGUAGGUGGUUUGUCGCGUCUGUCGUGAAAUCCUGUGGCUUAACCAUGGGCUUGCGGUGGGUACGGGCAGGCUUGAGUGCGGUAGGGGAGACGGGAAUUCCUGGUGUAGCGGUGGAAUGCGCAGAUAUCAGGAGGAACACCGGUGGCGAAGGCGGGUCUCUGGGCCGUUACUGACACUGAGGAGCGAAAGCGUGGGGAGCGAACAGG
rnacentral:rRNA from 1 species